AUAAGGGAGGCCUAAAAAGGCUUCCCUUUUUAAAUUUUUAAUCCAGGCAGGAGUUCGCCUGCCUGGACUGGGAGAGGAGAAAUUGAAGGAAGAAUUGGGGAAAUUUCUAUUCCCGUUA
rfam:Thermoanaerobacter tengcongensis MB4, complete genome.